rnacentral:lncRNA from 13 species
AUCUCCAGACCCAGUCAGACUUUCAGACACUGAAGUUUUGGCUGACAUUUUGACUACAUCUUCGUGAGAGUGCCCAAGGCAGAACCACCCAGCCAAGCCACUCUGACUCCUGAUCCAUAGAGACAGUGUGCGACAGCACAGGAUUAUUGUUGUGCGAAGUCAUGAGUAUUUGAGGCAAUUGUUAUGUAGCUUUAGCUAAUAGAGACCUAUUCUGCGGCUUAGGAGGAAGUGAGAAUAGAGCCAGUUUGGGGGCUCCAGGAACCUACAGUCUCCAGGUGACCAAGCAGACACUGACGAAAUAUGAAGGCGCUGGGGCUGGAGAGAGACGACGUCUACUGGGCCUGAUAAUGGACUCAAAACUACAGAAGUAAACACAGGAAGGAAAAAAGUACCGAGAGAGAGGGGUGAGCUGCUGACAGAGGCUUAGGGACCAUUUGGAAUCGCGCAGACCUGGAUUCAAAUCCUCACUCCAUCACUUUAGUCUUGGGAACUCAAGCAAAUUACUUAAACUCCUUAUAGAGUCCCAGAUUCCUGUAACAGCAGCAUGGAUCCUUGCUGCAAUGAGGAUUAAGCAGAAUAUGUCACUGAAAAUGAAAUGAAAUGAGAAGCCCCUAACCCAGCCCCCUAGCUCAUGG